rnacentral:rRNA from 1 species
AGGUAUUUAAUUAUCAUUGAUGAUGUAUGGGCUGCAUCAGUGUGGGAUAUUAUUAAUCAUGCUUUUCCAAAGGGUAGUCAUGGUAGCAGAAUAAUAACAACCACACAGAUCGAAGACAUUGCAUUAACCUGUUGCAGUUAUCAGUCAGAGUAUGUUUUUGAGAUGAAACACCUAGAUGAUGAUCACUCUAGAAAGCUUUUCUUUAACAGACUUUUUGGCUCCGAAUGUGAUUGUCCUGAACAGUUCAAAGAGGUUCUAAAUGAAAUUGUUGAAACAUGUGAUGGUUUGCCACUAGCUACAGUGAGCAUAUCUAGUCUUUUAUCAAGCCAGCCUGCCAUGACAAUUGAUCUAUUAAUGUGCAUUCAGCAGUCGUUUAGCUCUUGUUUUUCGGCAUCAGAAAGAACAAGACAAGCACUGAAUUUGAGUUUCAACAAUCUUCCUCAAUAUUUGAAGACAUGUUUGCUUUAUCUUAGUAUGUAUCCAGAGGGCUAUGUGUUCUAAAAGGAUGAUCUGGUGAAGCAAUGGGUAGCUGAAGGUUUGAUCUACACAACAGAAGGGCAAGACAUUGAUGAAGUUGCUGAAAGCUAUCUGGAUCAACUUGUUGGGAGAAGAUUCAUCCAGCCGAUAUGUGUGAACUACAACAAUGAGGUGUUGUCCUAUGCAGUGCAUGACAUGGUACAUGAUCUUAUUGCACACAAGUCUGCAGAAGAGAAUUUCAUUGUGGCAAUAGACUACAGCCGGAAGAAUGUUUCACUCUCUCAAAAGGUCCGUCGACUGUCUCUCCUCUUUGGCGAUGCGAGAUAUGCCAAGACACCAGCAAACAUCACAAAGUCACAAGUUCGGUCACUUAGGUUUUUUGGAUUAGUCAACUCUAUGCCUUGUAUUACAGAGUUCAAGCUUCUUCGUGUCCUGAACCUGCAACUACUCAGUCAUACUGGCGAUGACGACAGCCCUGUAGACCUCACUGGGAUUUCAAAAAUGUUUCAACUGAGAUAUUUGAAGAUUGCAGGUAAUGUCUGCAUAAAACUGCCAAACCAUGUGCUACAAUGUUUGGAAAUCUUGGAUAUUAUGGAUGUAAUAGUUGCUUGUGUCCCACGAGAUAUCCAUUUUCCAAACUUGUUACACCUUGGUCUUCCUGUUGAUAAAAAUCUGCCGGAUUGGAUUAACAGAAGGAUGUCUCCCGGUGUGGAGAGAGUACGAAAGCUGCAUGCCCUGCAGGAUCUUCAUCUAACCAGAUUUUCUACACAUUCUUCUGACCAUCUGAAUAGAAGCAUGGGUUCUAUUUUAUCCUUAAUUGGAGGGCAUGGUAACCUGAAAACUGUAGUAGUGGCUCAUGGCUCAAUGGCUAAAAAUGCUCGUGGUGCUUCAGAUGUCACCCUUUCGUGGGAUCUCCUGGCACCCCCACUUCUCCAGAGAUUUGAGUUUUCACCACAUAGCCGUAUCAUAUUCCCACGAAUUCCUCUGUGGAUUGAUAAACAUGGCAAGCUAAGAAUUUUGAAGAUUACCGUACAGGAACUAUUGUCCAAUAGUGUUGGUAUUCUCAGAACAUUGCCUGCCCUCACUGCUCUGUCCCUGUAUGUGGAGAAGGCGCCCUACGACAAAAUCAUAUUCGACAAGGCCGGGUUCUCAGUUCUCAAGUAUUUUAGGUUCACAAGUGGCAUAGCUUGGAUAAAAUUUGUGGAGGGUGCAAUGCGUAAUCUCUGGAAGCUUAAGUUAGUUUUUGAUUCUAUUCCCUCAUUGGAGAAAGAUGGCUUUGCAGUUACCAGCAUCGAGCAUAUAGAAAGAUGGACAUCCAUUAGUCUCCGAACCAGCAUCGAGCAUAUGCCAGGCCUUAAAGAGAUCUGGACAAAAUUUGGGGGGUCAGCUGCUGAUUUAGAGUAUGCCUUAAUGACCUUCAUUAGUAACCAUCCGAGCAAUCCUAUAAUCAACAUGCCAUCAGACAAUACUCUGGGGGAACAAAAACCAUAUAGGAAUCUGGAGCACGACUCAGAUGAGGUUCUUAAGGAAGAUGAGCCAUAUAGGAAUCUGGAGCAGGAAUCAGAUGAAAUUCUGGAGGAACAAGAGCCAGAUAAAUACGGUGAGAGAUUAAAGAGGCGAUCGGCUGAUAAAAGGUACUACCAAUGUUCCUUGGAAAGACAAGGAAAUAUGCCAUCCUUUACUUCAACUUUUAUUGGGCUGAGUGCACCCACGUGGCGCGGAGGCCUCAAUAAAGAAAAUAUUUUUAUAAGAGAAACAUCGACUUCUUCUUCAGUUAACCUGAUAUAA